rnacentral:rRNA from 1 species
GACGAACCGUACAAACGUUAUUCGGAAUCACUGGGCUUAAAGGGUGCGUAGGCGGCCAUGUAAGUGAGGUGUGAAAUCCCUCGGCUCAACCGAGGAACUGCGCUUCAUACUGCAUGGCUUGAGGGAGACAGGGGUAAGCGGAACUGAUGGUGGAGCGGUGAAAUGCGUUGAUAUCAUCAGGAACACCGGUGGCGAAAGCGGCUUACUGGGUCUCUUCUGACGCUGAGGUACGAAAGCUAGGGGAGCGAACAGG